rnacentral:rRNA from 1 species
AUUGAACGCUGGCGGCAUGCCUUACACAUGCAAGUCGAACGGCAGCAUGGGUGCUUGCACCUGAUGGCGAGUGGCGAACGGGUGAGUAAUGCAUCGGAACGUACCCGGAAGUGGGGGAUAACGUAGCGAAAGUUACGCUAAUACCGCAUAUUCUGUGAGCAGGAAAGCGGGGGAUCGCAAGACCUCGCGCUUCCGGAGCGGCCGAUGUCGGAUUAGCUAGUUGGCGGGGUAAAGGCCCACCAAGGCAACGAUCCGUAGCGGGUCUGAGAGGAUGAUCCGCCACACUGGGACUGAGACACGGCCCAGACUCCUACGGGAGGCAGCAGUGGGGAAUUUUGGACAAUGGGCGCAAGCCUGAUCCAGCAAUGCCGCGUGCAGGAUGAAGGCCUCGGUUGUAACUAGCUUUGUUACGGACGAAACGGUACUGCUCUAAUACAGUGGGCGUAAUGACGGUACCGU